rnacentral:rRNA from 1 species
GACGAACGCUGGCGGCGUGCUUAACACAUGCAAGUCGAACGGCAAGGCCCUGCUUUUGUGGGGUGCUCGAGUGGCGAACGGGUGAGUAACACGUGAGUAACCUGCCCUUGACUUUGGGAUAACUUCAGGAAACUGGGGCUAAUACCGGAUCGGAGCUCCUGCUGCAUGGUGGGGGUUGGAAAGUUUCGGCGGUUGGGGAUGGACUCGCGGCUUAUCAGCUUGUUGGUGGGGUAGUGGCUUACCAAGGCUUUGACGGGUAGCCGGCCUGAGAGGGUGACCGGCCACAUUGGGACUGAGAUACGGCCCAGAGUCCUACGGGAGGCAGCGGGGGGGAAUAUUGCACAAUGGGCGGAAGCCUGAUGCAGCAACGCCGCGUGCGGGAUGACGGCCUUCGGGUUGUAAACCGCUUUCGCCUGUGACGAAGCGUGAGUGACGGUAAUGGGUAAAGAAGCACCGGCUAACUACGUG